ensembl:lncRNA
UUUUUUUUUUUUUUUUGAGACGGAGUCUCGCUCUGUCGGCCAGGCUGGAGUGCAGUGGCCGGAUCUCAGCUCACUGCAAGCUCCGCCUCCCGGGUUCACGCCAUUCUCCUGCCUCAGCCUCCCGAGUAGCUGGGACUACAGGCGUCCACCACCUUGCCCGGCUAGUUUUUUUUUUUGUAUUUUUAGUAGAGACGGGGUUUCACCGUAUUAGCCAGGAUGGUCUCGAUCUCCUGACCUCGUGAUCCGCCCGUCUCAGCCUCCCAAAGUGCUGGGAUUACAGGCUUGAGCCACCGCGCCCGGCUAAAUAAGACUUUUUUAAAGCUGAGUGUAGUCACGGAUUCGUAUCAUAAAAUAUCUAUGAGUUGGGGGAUCCUAUUCUCUUGAGGUUCCAAGAUAAAACUUGGGGCUGGUGGGCCUGUCAGAAAGUGACGUUCUUUACUUACCACAGUUCAGGAACCCUGUACAGAGACUAUGUAGACAAACAUGAGGCCAGUUUUCCCAAGGGGCUUUUAUUGGCUCUGUAAGUCAAGUUUGAGUCCUUAAAGGAAAGCACACCAUUCCAGUCAAAGCCUUGGUAGAAUAACCAGUUUCUCCAAGUGUGUCCUCUCAUACAUGAAAAGAGAUUCUUAUUGCACUUAUGUAAAUAACUGUAUUGCCACAAAUAGCUUGCAAAUUCUGGAGAAAUCAGGAAGAGGAAAAACAAAUAUGUUAUAAAUUUUGUUCAUAGGAAUAUACUAAAUUGUUAAAUCCUGUUAAUCGCUCCAAAGAAAAGUUUCCUUGGCUCUGAAAAAGCAAAGCAAAGGAUUAGCAACAUUUUAAGUGAAAAGUCAAAAGGAUUACUUCAGUCUUGUAAUAGUUCAGUCGCUGUAGUUAAUUCCUGUUCCGCUUGAUAUUCCUGAACAUUUCAGUUCUCCAUGGGCCCUGAAAGUUUUUAUUUUAUUCUGAUGUCACCAUCUCCAAAGCUGUUAAAAACUUGUAUGCAAGAGCACCUGUUGGAGUUUUAUAGCUUUUUAUAAAAUCACCUUGUAAGAAGGACCAAAAUAAGACAACAAUUGUCUGUGAAUGACAAAAGGUUUUAGGGCAGCCACAGUCAAAAUAACCAUUGACAAGAAAAUUCAUUACCUCUGUGGCACACGAUAAUUUAACAUAAUAAUUAUAAUUACUACUGAUAAUGUACACUAAGUCAUAUCAGAAUUAUAGGAGUUUCCUAUGAUUUGGGAACACAUAACGAUAACAUGUUUAUACAAACACAGCCCAAAGAAACCCAAACACCAUUUCAUAUUUGACAACACUUCCUAUAUAAUUUUUAUACCAAAUAGGACAAAUUAUGUCAUUUUUGGACUUUAUGGAACUUAAUAUCCUAAAAGAUUAAUUAGGUCAGAAAAAGACAUAAUUUAUAAUUUGAUUUUGGAAAGUUUGUCAAAGGUUUAAAACACUUGAUAUCACAGGCUAUUGCAAAAUAAGUCAUUCAUUUAACCAAAGUGCUAACUUGAGGAUUUCAAAAAAGGUGAAAACCUUCAUUCUUUCAGAGAAAACUUAAUUUUCCAAACAAUAAACCCUAAUAAAAACAAGAAGCCAAUUACAUUUGUUUUUCAAAAUUUUAUAAUUAAUAAAAUUUUAAUCUUGAUCAUAAGAUAUAAUUUUCAUAAGCCUUUUAUAAACUUUAUAGCCUUAAUUUAUUAAGGAGUUUGUUAAUGCUUCCAGAAAACCUUGUUAAUCUGACACAGGGGUCCAUAUGCUAGUUUUGCAUCAGUGUGCUUUUGACAUUAAUGAUUUAUUUAUAGAGAAACUGAGCUUAUUUUAUCUCUCAAAGUCAGCCUUUACAAUCUUACACACCCACCUCUUCAUGAUAGUCCCUGGGCCUUGAGGAAUUGAAUAGCUUUAAUUUCUGGCCUGAUGUCUCAGGAAUGCAGUUUAUUUUGAAGGGCAUCUUCUACUGAGUCUGAAGAUGGAGCUUUAAUUCCUGUCAGUGUUUAAAAUUUAGCAGGACUUGGUGUUCUUUUUAGAUCCAGGAGUCAAACCCUGUAACUCAAUGUCACAAGUACUUUAAAUGUGCAUACAGAGAGAUACAUGGAUGUAAUAACUUUAAUUUUAAAAAACAUUAAUCUCAGUUUUUUUCCUACGCAAACCAAAACUUAAUAAUAAUAUGACAGCAUGAUCACAUAAAAGUUUUUGCUUUUUAAAAAAAUACAUCCUCUUAUUGUGACUUACACAGACCAUUCAUGACAUGCUUGGACUUUUUGGGUUGACCUGAAUAUCUUUUUUAUAAAC